AUUGAACGCUGGCGGCAGGCCUAACACAUGCAAGUCGAGCGAGCGGCGGACGGGUGAGUAAUGCCUGGGAAUUGCCCAGUCGAGGGGGAUAACAGUUGGAAACGACUGCUAAUACCUCAUACGAUCGGAUUGCCCAGGUGGGAUUAGCUAGUUGGUGAGGUAAUGGCUCACCAAGGCGACGAUCCAUAACGGGUCUGAGAGGGUGAUCAGCCACACGGGAACUGAGAACCGGUCCCGACUCCUACGGGAGGCAGCAGUGGGGAAUAUUGCACAAGGGGGGAAACCCUGAUGCAGCCAUGCCGCGUUGGUGACGAAGGCCUUCGGGUUGUAAAGCACUUUCAGCGAGGAGGCGUUACUCGCAGAGGAAGCACCGGCUAACUCCGUGCCAGCCGCCGCGGUAAUAC
rnacentral:rRNA from 1 species